CCCACUCUCUUCCUCACUUGGCUCGUCCUCCCCCUUCCCGUACCUUUCUCCUGAGUGUCCUCACCGCCGGCGAAAGGGAAGGUCAGGCCCUUCCUCCCUGCUCCAGGCCUCUACUCUGCCACCUACCCACCGCCGGCCUCGGCGAAUUCGCAUCCCCGCCGCUGCAGCUCCGCCGCCGGCGUGAGAACCGUGUCGACCCCUGGUUCCUCUCCGCCGGCACCACGGUCGGCCCAUCCCUUGCCUCGUCGCCGCUCUCUGCAGGCCCGAAGUCCUAGACCUCGUCUCCACUGACCUCACGCGCGUUGGAGAAAUCAACAGGGCCAGCUACCUCCUCCCAGUUCCCUAGGGGCAACUGACGCCGGAGAGGACGCCCCGAUCCGGCUGGUUGACCGUGUGGCGAGCUUCCCCGAUCCCCAAGUACGGCAUGCUCGGUCCACUCCCCUCCCACGGAUGGUAAUCCCCCUUGCCUGAACCGGCACCCCUUAUGAUUUCUUCCUUGCUGGAUCUCAUCGUGAGAGGAAAUUGCAGGUGCUGGAUCUCAUUUGUGACCAUUUACGUUUAGUUGGCUAAGUAGUAAAAAUAUGAUACGGAGUACUUGUCCGUAAGCGCCCCAUUCUUUCUGGAGCUUUUUUCUUCUGAAACAAUCAAGUCUUAGUUUUGUUGUUGUAAAUCAACUUGAUAUAAAUUGCUUGUAUGCUAGAACACCUAUAUCUACAUGUUUUUUUAAGAUUUUGGCAUAAUCUAGACUGCAUAAAGAAGAGAAUAUAAGUAACCCUAUAUCUUCACUUUUUUGGGAAAUUGCGUGUUGCUGCAUAAUCUGAAGAAAGUGCUUUGUGCAAUUACAUGCUGGAAUGUGUAGAGAAUUUCAUCCUGUAGUUUCCAAAUUCUUUAUCUAUCUUAGUGUGCAAUAGAUUGAUUCAGAGAAGGGUUAGUCCUGACAAAGAGUAGCUUCUAAUUUUUGUUGGUUGUUUAUCUAUCUCUGGUAUCCUUAAAUAGUUCGUUUCACCUCAGAUUUUACCUAAGCUUAUGUCAUCACAACCCCUUCCAAUAAGUUGUGAUACCUUUUUUUGCUGAUGCAUCUCAUGUGGAUCAGGCCCUGUCUGGCAAAUGGGAACUGGACCCUGCUGUUUCUGAGGACCUGCUACUGUGACUUGCCAUAUAUUAGUGUCAUUGCAUCCUGCAGGAUCUACUGACCCUAAUGUUGUUGCAUUCUUCUCUCCCACUGAGGGAGGAAGCUACCUGCAUGCAAGAGCCGUGUCUGUGCAUCAUGUUUUUAAGCAUGUGACGGUACAUGCUUCUUUUAAGUUCUUUGAUUUGAUUAUUCCAUCCCAUAAGAGGCAUUACAAGUGAAACGUGGAUGUACUAAGUGCUCUGUUUUGAUUAUGUAGAACAUGUUGAUAAGCUACAUGUCGGCGUGCUAGUAGUUCACUUUUACUAUUGGUAUCCAUUUCUGCAUAUCGUUUCCUUUCCCGCUCCCUCUUCUUCUCUGUGCUAUCUAUUACGGGUUGUGGCUGAAUGCGGGAUGAUGUGGGUUCAUUGCUACUGCAGUUCUCCAUGUCUACUAUAUGUACAUAUUAUAAGAGAACAACAUUAAUAAUAAGAAAUAUUAACAAAUUUUGCAUCAUUCUAUAUGGCCCUGCAACUUCACGCAAUAAUAAUUAGAAUAAGUUGCAAUCAUACCAGUAGGGAUGAUUUCUUGCCCUUGAAAUGCCAUAGGAAUUGAUUGCCUCUGAUAGCUGUCAUUCCUUCUUAGCCAUUCAUCAUCUUCAGAAGGAACUUCAUUUUCCUUGUUCACUGAAGGAACCUCAUUUUCAUUGUUGAAUGUUGUAGCUAAAUUACAUACAAAUUAUUAGAUAGCUGAACCAAAUUUUUAUAGAGAUUUUAGGAAUCGUCAUACCAGUGACGAGACUUCCUUGCCCUUGAGAUGACAUAUGAGGUGUUUGCAUUUGGUAUGCGUCUUUUUCAACAGGGACAACAUUUUCCUUGUUCCAAUAAGUGUCUCCUGGUUAAAACCAAAGGAGAAUGUUGUUUAGUGGCAUUAUACACAUGAAUUGAACAUACUGGCUAAAAAUUGCACCUUUAAGAGCAGGUGUGUUUUGUAGUUGAGAAAGUGCAGAUGGAUAUCCAUGUGACUCUUGUCGUGGCUGUAACAGAUGGUGUGAUUUGUAGUUUAGCUUUCUUCUGCUGAUAGGAUUCACGAUGCUUCUUAAGUAGCUCCUCUUUUUUGUGUUUAUCCAUUUCUGCAUAUCUCUGUCUACGUUGUUGUUUGAUUCGUUCUUUCGCAUCAGUAGGCUUCCCUCCAUUACUUGUGGAGAUGGUGUUGGACAAGUCUUUGAAAGGAGUUCGUUCAGUCGAUUGUUUCGACGGCUCCAUCUGCAAGGUGUCCUGAUAAAAAAGCACGGAAGUACUGGCGUGUGACCUUUAUGAGUUCGAUAGGAUCUGGAAUGACAUGAGGACAUAUUAGGAUAUAGACUAUGUCAUGUCCAAAGCCAAGGUUUGUGUCAGUACACCAGCCCAAGGCACAAUUCAGUUUAUGUAUGCUUGCAGCCUAUCCAUAAACUGGUAGAAUACAUCAAGUAUCGAGAGGCUUGCAUCUUCUAAACUGAUCGUCAUGCAAUCAGGCCUCAGGCAUUUUCGUGCAUAUAUCAAUGGCAACAUGUUAGCCUAUCCAUAAAGCUCAAUUCUAGAAAUGUAGAUAAACUGAGUGACCUCUAAUGAUCUAAUGAUCUUUGUAAAUUGUAUGCCAGAAGAAGUAAGAAACUGAUGCGAUGUCUGAGCGUCAAAGAAGAGGCGGCAGACCAAUGAGGCAGACCACGGGGCGUCGGCGAGGCGGCAGACCAAUGAGGCAGACCACGGGGCGUCGGCGAGGCGGUAGACCAAUGAGGCAGACCACGGGGCGUCGGCGUUGGCAACCAGCAAGGUCGAUGGAGAGAUUGCAGUCGUCGGCGAAGAUACGGCAGACCACGGGGCGGCGAGCUGGUUGCCAUAAGGCAGGCGUCAAAGAAGAGAUGUCAGACCACGAGGCAGCGAGGUGGUUGCCGGACGGCAGGCGUCGGAGUAAAGAUGACAGCGUGAGGGUGAGAAGAGACGGCAGCGUGAGGGGGAGGUGAUUUCGUUGGUCUGAUUGAUUUCCAUAUACGUUUUGGCUGAUUUUUUCCUUGUACGUGAGGGGGAGAUGAUUUCGUUGUCCAUUUCACUGAUUGAUAUUUCCUUGUACGUGGAGGGGGGAGAUGAUUUGGUUGAUCUGAUUGGUUUCCGUACACGUUUUGGCUAAUUGAUAUUUCCUUCCAUGAAACGUGAGACUGCUUGACUUUC